rnacentral:lncRNA from 1 species
CUACAUUCUCUCUGACGGGAAACAUCCGUUUGAGGACACAAAGGAUCGUGAGGAGAACUUCAAGAAUGGGCAGCACUCUCUUGAAGAUUUACAAGAUACAGUAGCAAAGGAUCUCUUUAAAUGGAUGAUCAAGAAAGACCCGGCAGAGAGACUGACUAUUGAUGAGGUCCUGCGACACCCUUAUUUCUGGGAUGAAGACAGCAAAGAUGCAGUCCUUAGGAAGCUGCGUGACAGGCCUGAAAUCCAGAACUAUGAGACUUUAGCAAAACUUCGCAAACUCUACGUAGAGAAAGGGAACAGACCCAGCAGCAGCACUGACCAUUAAUGAGGCCUUCAGCGAACUGAAAAUCCAGAACAAAAAGAAGUUCUAAGUUAUUGAAAGAAGUCACUU